rnacentral:tRNA from 3 species
GGGCGCGUAGCUCAGCGGGAGAGCACUCCCUUCACACGGGAGGGGUCGCAGGUUCAAUCCCUGCCGCGCCCACCA